UAUAGCUCUGCGAAAUUUGCAAAUUUUGUAUUAAUUUGUAUUACUCGCGGGAAAAUGCACCAACUACAUUUGGGCCGAAAGUGGUGCAUUUUCCCGCGCGUGAUACAAAUUAAUACAAAAUCUGCAAAUUUCGCAGGGCUAUA